AGUGAACGCUGGCGGUAGGCCUAACACAUGCAAGUCGAACGGCAGCACAGUAAGAGCUUGCUCUUACGGGAGGCGAGUGGCGGCCGGGUGAGGAAUACAUCGGAAUCUACUUUUUCGUGGGGGAUAACGUAGGGAAACUUACGCUAAUACCGCAUACGACCUACGGGUGAAAGCAGGGGAUCUUCGGACCUUGCGCGAUUGAAUGAGCCGAUGUCGGAUUAGCUAGUUGGCGGGGUAAAGGCCCACCAAGGCGACGAUCCGUAGCUGGUCUGAGAGGAUGAUCAGCCACACUGGAACUGAGACACGGUCCAGACUCCUACGGGAGGCAGCAGUGGGGAAUAUUGGACAAUGGGCGCAAGCCUGAUCCAGCCAUACCGCGUGGGUGAAGAAGGCCUUCGGGUUGUAAAGCCCUUUUGUUGGGAAAGAAAAGCAGCAGGUUAAUACCCCGCUGUUCUGACGGUACCCAAAGAAUAAGCACCGGCUAACUUCGUG
rnacentral:rRNA from 1 species